AUGGGCAUGCGCGAUCUGGUGACCGGUCGCGCCGGCUGCGCGGCGCCGGGUUCGUCGUCCUCAUCCGCCAAACCCCUCAGCGCCCUCGCCGACGCCGUGCUCGGCUCCUCCUCCACAUCUGAGAUGAGAAAGGAACUUUCAGGAUCAGCAGUAUGCCAGAAAGCUUCUUUUGAUUCACCGAUGCCCGUUCCUUUAUCAACACUUCCAGGCUCCGAGGAUGAGAUCAAGCAAGGUCAGGGACCUAUUAGAAGCAUGAAGGGCACCGACUUCAUUAGUGGGCAUCAUGGAGACACCUAUGGUGAAAAUUUUCAAGCCACAACCCCUUCUGUUCCUGAACACAGAAUGAUCGAGCCUCACCUUGGAGAGCUGGAGCAAAUUGAUAGUGCUACUGGUGUGAAUUCCAAGCCCAAAUUUGAUGGUCCACCAGAGAUGGCUGUUCCCCCUCUAUUGCCUCAAAGUCCAUUUCAACAAUACAAUUUAUCAGAAAAUGGACAGGAAGAAUAUUCAGGAGCAAAGGAUGGAUUGCUGGAUCAUAUAGAUAAUCUUUAUGAUGAUGAAAUGAGAUCCUCUGGAAACAUAAGCAACGAAGUCAAUAGUUGGCUGUCUGUGUUUGAACAGGGAAUACAUCCACGAGUCAUGAGCGAUGACGAGCUGUCAGGUGAUGGAUGGUUGUUAUUUCUGCGGAUUGCCAUCAGCCACCUGGGUGGACUUUCCCAACCAAGGUUUCUGGAAGAGCAGAUCACCUGUCAGGAUCAGGUUACUGGGCAUCGAGUAUGGAUCAAGCUACAGAAACACUCUGGCUGGUCGGUUAAACUGGAAGCUACGCGGCACCGCCUCUUCGAGGCCCUGCAGGAUGCGGCGAUGCUGGCCGUUAUUACCAUGAGGCAGCAUUUCCCUUGCGAGUUCGCAGGCACUCCGUUUGAAGUUCUGCCUGUGGCGCCUGGGCAGAGGGGCAGGCGGCUAGACGAUGGUGCCGCGGUCGUCCGCGGCGGUGCUGUGGCUUCUGCUUUUAUUGGCCUUGAUCACGAUGAUGUCCAACCUCUUCUUGUGGUCAGCUUCAUGUCCCUUUUCCAUGAGCGUUCCGAGUCUUUGCUACGUCUGAGGGAGCACGCGUUGAAGGAGCGGUUGCUGAUCGCUGAGGUAGAGAAGAUGUUGGAAGAGCUCGAUGGUUCCCCAACCCGAACUCAGGAGUUGGAUCAAAGAAUUGCGGAGCUGAAAAGGAGGGCGGGAGAGAUGCAUGGACUUCCUGCCGAUGCUGUCAAAGGAUACAUUGGUUGGUCUGUGUUCGUCUCUAAAGGCGCAGCAGAAGAUGAAGCCAUUGGAGGAUGGAAAUGA
rnacentral:rRNA from 1 species